rnacentral:rRNA from 1 species
UACGUAGGGGGCUAGCGUUGUCCGGAAUCAUUGGGCGUAAAGAGCGUGUAGGCGGUCCGGUAAGUCCGCUGUGAAAGUCGGGGGCUCAACCCUCGAAUGCCGGUGGAUACUGUCGGGCUAGAGUGCGGAAGAGGCGAGUGGAAUUCCUGGUGUAGCGGUGGAAUGCGCAGAUAUCAGGAGGAACACCUAUAGCGAAGGCAGCUUGCUGGGACGUUACUGACGCUAAGGCGCGAAAGCGUGGGGGGCGAACAGG